AUUGAACGCUGGCGGCAUGCCUUACACAUGCAAGUCGAACGGUAACAGGUCUUCGGAUGCUGACGAGUGGCGAACGGGUGAGUAAUAUAUCGGAACGUGCCCAGUCGUGGGGGAUAACGCAGCGAAAGCUGUGCUAAUACCGCAUACGAUCUAUGGAUGAAAGCGGGGGAUCGCAAGACCUCGCGCGAUUGGAGCGGCCGAUAUCAGAUUAGGUAGUUGGUGGGGUAAAGGCCCACCAAGCCAACGAUCUGUAGCUGGUCUGAGAGGACGACCAGCCACACUGGAACUGAGACACGGUCCAGACUCCUACGGGAGGCAGCAGUGGGGAAUUUUGGACAAUGGGCGCAAGCCUGAUCCAGCAAUGCCGCGUGGAGGACGAAGCCCUUCGGGGUGUAAACUCCUUUUCUCAGGGAGAGAAACUUACGCACGUGUUGCGUGACUGACGGUACCCUGGGAAUAAGCAUCGGCUAACUCCGUGCCAGC
rnacentral:rRNA from 1 species